rnacentral:lncRNA from 10 species
CAAGAGCUGGGUGUUCCGGGCUGUUGAAGAAAAUGGAGUAAUGGGAUAGAAGCUGCUUUCAACUUCCUGCUGGAGGACCCAAGGCCAGGAAAAAAGAAAAUUUUUGGAUAUCAGAAAUCAGAACAGGCCUGGAGUUGGGGAAUAAAUUAGGAAAGACACGGACUCAAGCAAAGGAAGACAUCAGAAGUAGAGGUUGGCCAAAGGACAAAACUACAAAGCAGCAAUUGCAGAUUGAAUCAAAUCAUCAGCUACUGGACAUUACAACAUUCACCAUGGAGAGUAACAAUAAUAUGCAUUUAUCAGAACUUCACUAUGUGCCAGGCACAACAUUUUAUGGAAGAUGAACAGGUAGAUAGACAAACAGAUAUGAGUACAUAGCUAGGUAAGUUGGUAGAUAGGUAGCAGGAUUCUCUGUCUCCCUAUUCCUUCUGGUAAGAAGAUAAAAGCUAAUGACUUCAAAAGCAUAACUGUGCAUUCAAUAUUCAUAGAAAGGGUCUGUGUGUGGUAGGAAAGAGACACAG